rnacentral:rRNA from 1 species
CCUACGGGAGGCAGCAGUGAGGAAUAUUGGUCAAUGGGCGUAAGCCUGAACCAGCCAAGUCGCGUGAGGGAUGAAGGUUCUAUGGAUCGUAAACCUCUUUUAUAAGGGAAUAAAGUGCGGGACGUGUCCCGUUUUGUAUGUACCUUAUGAAUAAGGAUCGGCUAACUCCGUGCCAGCAGCCGCGGUAAUACGGAGGAUCCGAGCGUUAUCCGGAUUUAUUGGGUUUAAAGGGUGCGUAGGCGGCCUUUUAAGUCAGCGGUGAAAGUCUGUGGCUCAACCAUAGAAUUGCAGUUGAAACUGGGAGGCUUGAGUAUGUUUGAGGCAGGCGGAAUUCGGGGUGUAGCGGUGAAAUGCUUAGAUAUCACGCAGAACCCCGAUUGCGAAGGCAGCCUGCUAAGCCAUAACUGACGCUGAUGCACGAAAGCGUGGGGAUCAAACAGGAUUAGAUACCCUUGUAGUC